UACGUAGGGUGCGAGCGUUGUCCGGAAUUAUUGGGCGUAAAGGGCUCGUAGGCGGUCUGUCGCGUCGAAAGUGAAAACUCAGGGCUUAACCCUGAGCCUGCUUCCGAUACGGGCAGACUAGAGGUAUGCAGGGGAGAACGGAAUUCCUGGUGUAGCGGUGAAAUGCGCAGAUAUCAGGAGGAACACCGAUGGCGAAGGCAGCUCGCUGGGACGGUACUGACGCUGAGGCGCGAAAGCGUGGGGAGCAAACAGG
rnacentral:rRNA from 1 species